rnacentral:rRNA from 1 species
CACGUAGGGUGCGAGCGUUGUCCGGAAUUAUUGGGCGUAAAGAGCUCGUAGGCGGUGUGUCGCGUCGGCCGUGAAAACCUGCAGCUUAACUGUGGGCUUGCGGUCGAUACGGGCAUCACUGGAGUUCGGCAGGGGGAGACUGGAAUUCCUGGUGUAGCGGGUGAAAUGCGCAGAUAUCAGGAGGAACACCGGUGGCGAAGGCAGCACUCUGGGACGGUACUGACGCUGAGACGCGAAAACGUGGGGGAGCAAACAGG